rnacentral:rRNA from 1 species
GCCUACGACCAUAUCACCCUGAAUGUGCCCGAUCUCAUCUGAUCUCGGAAGCUAAGCAAGGUCGAGCCUGGUUAGUACUUGCAUGGGAGACUGCCUGGGAAUACCAGGUGUUGUAGGCU